AUUGAACGCUGGCGGCAGGCCUAACACAUGCAAGUCGAACGAGUGGCGGACGGGUGAGUAAUGUCUGGGAAACUGCCUGAUGGAGGGGGAUAACUACUGGAAACGGUAGCUAAUACCGCAUACCAUCAGAUGUGCCAAUAUGGGAUUAGCUAGUUGUUUGGGUAACGGCUCACCAAGGCGACGAUCCCUAGCUGGUCUGAGAGGAUGACCAGACAAACUGGAACCGAGACACGGUCCAGACCCCUUCGGGAGACAGCAGUGGGGAAUAUUGCACAAUGGGCGCAAUCCUGAUGCAGCCAUGCCGCGUGUAUGAAGAAGGCCUUCAGGUUGUAAAGUACUUUCAGCGGGGAGGCGUUACCCGCAGAAGAAGCACCGGCUAACUCCGUGACAGCAGCCGCGGUAAUAC
rnacentral:rRNA from 1 species